rnacentral:rRNA from 1 species
AUGGGGAAGUUGUGGAGGUUUGGAAUAGUCUUAAAAGUAGAUGUGAGGAAGUGUCUAUGGGAGGUGGAAACACAUAAAAUCACAUGGACCCCCACUGCAGAUCAUAAAUUUACAGUUGGAUCAUUAUAUAGGAAAAUUAUCACUCUUGGUUUGAAAUUCCCACAAAAAUUCCUAUGGAAGACCAAAGUGCCUGGGAAAAUAAAAGUUUUUUUGUGGCUAGUUAAUAGGAAAAGUAUAUUGACUAGAGACAAUCUAUUAAAAAAAGGGUGGAAAGGAGGGAAAAGAUGUGCUUUUUGUGGGAAAGAUGAAUCAGUUGAUCAUCUGUUUUUUGGAUGCUUGGCAUCCUUGAUGUGGGAGCUGAUCAGAUGUGUGUGUGGGCUUAAAACCAUUCCAUUGAAUGUAAAGGAUUGCUUUGGGGAUUGGUUGAACAAGUUUGGCAGGGAUGAUAAAAAGUUAGUGAUGGUGGGGGUUUCUGCUUUGUUAUGGGCUAUUUGGAAAAGUAGAAAUGGGAUAAUUUUUGAAAACAAAAGGAUAAAUGAUCUUUUAUAUAUAAUCAAACUAAUGGCUCGUUGGUUGGUUGAUUGGUCUAUCUUGCAGACAAAGGAGCCGCUAAAAAGGGUGCUGGAGCUGGGAGCAAGACUGCUAGAACGGGUAGCAAAUGAAGUUUACACGUCGAAGCAGAGCUGGAGAAUCAAUGUUGCAAGAUUGGAGGGCUGA